rnacentral:snRNA from 1 species
AUUGCUUCCCGGCCUUUUGGCUAAAAUCAAGUGUAGUAUCUGUUCAUAUCAGUUUAAUAUCUGAUGCGUCCUCUAUCCGAGGACAACAUAUUAAAUGUAUUUUUGCAAGUAGGAGUUGGACUAGGAGCUGGCUCCAUCCACCCCACACAUCAGCCUGGUAUUGCAGUAUUUCCAGGAAUGGUGCACACACA